rnacentral:rRNA from 1 species
GAUGAACGCUGGCGGCGUGCCUAAUACAUGCAAGUCGAGCGAAUGGAUUAAGAGCUUGCUCUUAUGAAGUUAGCGGCGGACGGGUGAGUAACACGUGGGUAACCUGCCCAUAAGACUGGGAUAACUCCGGGAAACCGGGGCUAAUACCGGAUAACAUUUUGAACCGCAUGGUUCGAAAUUGAAAGGCGGCUUCGGCUGUCACUUAUGGAUGGACCCGCGUCGCAUUAGCUAGUUGGUGAGGUAACGGCUCACCAAGGCAAGGAUGCGUAGCCGACCUGAGAGGGUGAUCGGCCACACUGGGACGGAGACACGGACCAGACUCCUACGGGAGGCAGCAGUAGGGAAUCUUCCGCAAUGGACGAAAGUCUGACGGAGCGACGCCGCGUGAGUGAUGAAGGCUUUCGGGUCGUAAAACUCUGUUGUUAGGGAAGAACAAGUGCUAGUUGAAUAAGCUGGCACCUUGACGGUACCUAACCAGAAAGCCACGGCUAACUACGUGCCAGCAGCCGCAGUAA